CUGCCCUUCGCCUUCUUAAUAUGGUAAAUCCAAAUGUACAUAAUUUUGAAUUAGAGGUUGAUUUCAUUUGAUAAGGAUUUAAAGCAGGGAAAUAUUUGAAUUUGGCGCAUUUAUGAUAUAACUCAAAUUCAAAUGCACACUUAUUCAAAUGAACCCUAAGGAAAUUAAACAUAAGUUAGAUAAGCAAAUGAAUUUAUCUGUAUUCUCAUUCUUAACUGAUACAUGCAUUGCACAAUUUUUUUUUUUUUU
rnacentral:misc_RNA from 1 species